rnacentral:rRNA from 1 species
ACGGGUGAGUAAUACAUCGGAACGUAUCCUGGAGUGGGGGAUAGCCCGGCGAAAGCCGGAUUAAUACCGCAUACGCUCUGAGGAGGAAAGCGGGGGACCUUCGGGCCUCGCGCUCAAGGGGCGGCCGAUGGCGGAUUAGGUAGUUGGUGGGGUAAAGGCCUACCAAGCCGACGAUCCGUAGCUGGUCUGAGAGGACGACCAGCCACACUGGGACUGAGACACGGCCCAGACUCCUACGGGAGGCAGCAGUGGGGAAUUUUGGACAAUGGGGGCAACCCUGAUCCAGCAAUGCCGCGUGUGUGAAGAAGGCCUUCGGGUUGUAAAGCACUUUUGUCCGGAAAGAAAUCAUCGGGGCCAAUACCCCUGGUGGAUGACGGUACCGGAAGAAUAAGCACCGGCGAACUACGUGCCAGCAGCCGCGGUAAUACGUAGGGUGCGAGCGUUAAUCGGAAUUACUGGGCGUAAAGCGUGCGCAGGCGGUGCUGUAAGACCGAUGUGAAAUCCCCGGGCUUAACCUGGGAACUGCAUUGGUGACUGCAGCGCUGGAGUAUGGCAGAGGGGGGUGGAAUUCCACGU